rnacentral:misc_RNA from 1 species
AACCUAGCACACCUGCGGUGUGUACCUGCGGAGGGAUCAUUAAAAAAAUCCUUUUUGCCCGCGGACUUUGCUCCAAGGCGCAAAAAACCCACACUGUGUGCACCGUUAUCGUUUCUUUGGCAGGGGCUUGGGGUUGGUUUUUUCCGCCUCAACUUCUCCUCCGGCUCUAUCUCUUUUUUUUUGGGGACAGCUGGACAUGGGAAGCAGUUACCCUGCCAAGUAACCCUUUUAAAUCACGCU